GACGAACGCUGGCGGCGUGCUUAACACAUGCAAGUCGAACGGGCCCGCCCCUGUUUUUGGGGGUGGGUUGAGUGGCGAACGGGUGAGUAUCACGUGAGUAACCUGCCCCCUGCUCCUGGAUAACUGCUUGAAAGGGCGGCUAAUACGGGGUGUGCCGGCUGGUCCGCAUGGGCCUGGUCGGGAUAGUUUCAUCUUCGGGUGGUUCGGUGGGGGAUGGGCUCGCGGCCUAUCAGCUUGUUGGUGGGGUGAUGGCCCACCAAGGCGGUGACGGGUAGCCGGCCUGAGAGGGUGGGCGGCCACACUGGGACUGAGACACGGCCCAGACUCCUGCGGGAGGCAGCAGUGGGGGGUAUUGCACAAUGGGCGGAAGCCUGAUGCAGCGACGUCGCGUGAGGGAUGGAGGCCUUCGGGUUGUGAACCUCUUUCUCCGGUGGUGAAGGCCCUGUCCGUUGCGGCGGGGUUGACGGUAGCCGGGUAUGAAGCGCCGGCUAACUACGUG
rnacentral:rRNA from 1 species